UUUACCUCUCUGAUGUGCUACCAAUUAACAUCUCUACCUAUAAGCGACGCGGACAUUAAAGUUUAAACAGAGACGCCAUAAUUAGAGACACAGAAAAACAGUACCAUGUAUUUGCUUUAUUCUUACGAAGUUAUGUAUCAGCCUAUCAAGAGAGAGUUGAUUUGGAUGAGGAUGAAUCCGACUCGAGCUUUACCAGAUUUUUUCGGUGGCUUUAAUUUUUUUUUUCCUCAUUUAACGUUCUAAGUAAUCUGAAAAAAAUUAAAUGCUCUUUGCUACUUCAUUAAAAGAAAAUGUCGAUACGAUAGUUAAAUAGGAAAAAAGGAUUUUAAUAACUAUUACAAUGUUUUACUGUAUUUGUAAUUUUUUAACUUAUUUUUAAAUAUAUUAACAUGAAGAAGAUUUUUUUUUUGUCAACCUUAAUUUAAU
rnacentral:lncRNA from 1 species